GACGAACGCUGGCGGCGUGCUUAACACAUGCAAGUCGAACGGAAAGGCCCUGCUUUUGUGGGGUGCUCGAGUGGCGAACGGGUGAGUAACACGUGAGUAACCUGCCCUUGACUUUGGGAUAACUUCAGGAAACUGGGGCUAAUACCGGAUAGGAGCUCCUGCUGCAUGGUGGGGGUAGGAAAGUUUCGGCGGUUGGGGAUGGACUCGCGGCUUAUCAGCUUGUUGGUGGGGUAGUGGCUUACCAAGGCUUUGACGGGUAGCCGGCCUGAGAGGGUGACCGGCCACAUUGGGACUGGGAUACGGCCCAGACUCCUACGGGAGGCAGCAGUGGGGAAUAUUGCACAAUGGGCGGAAGCCUGAUGCAGCAACGCCGCGUGCGGGAUGACGGCCUUCGGGGUGUAAACCGCUUUCGCGUGUGACGAAGCGUGAGUGACGGUAAUGGGUAAAGAAGCACCGGCUAACUACGU
rnacentral:rRNA from 1 species